rnacentral:rRNA from 1 species
GCGUGCUUAACACAUGCAAGUCGAACGGAAAGGCCCUUCGGGGUACUCGAGUGGCGAACGGGUGAGUAACACGUGGGUGAUCUGCCCUGCACUUUGGGAUAAGCCUGGGAAACUGGGUCUAAUACCGAAUAGGACCACGCGCUUCAUGGUGUGUGGUGGAAAGCUUUUGCGGUGUGGGAUGGGCCCGCGGCCUAUCAGCUUGUUGGUGGGGUAAUGGCCUACCAAGGCGACGACGGGUAGCCGGCCUGAGAGGGUGACCGGCCACACUGGGACUGAGAUACGGCCCAGACUCCUACGGGAGGCAGCAGUGGGGAAUAUUGCACAAUGGGCGCAAGCCUGAUGCAGCGACGCCGCGUGAGGGAUGACGGCCUUCGGGUUGUAAACCUCUUUCAAUAGGGACGAAGCGCAAGUGACGGUACCUAUAGAAGAAGCACCGGCCAACUACGUGCCAGCAGCCGCGGUAAUACGUAGGGUGCGAGCGUUGUCCGGAAUUACUGGGCGUAAAGAGCUCGUAGGUGGUUUGUCGCGUUGUUCGUGAAAACUCACAGCUUAACUGUGGGCGUGCGGGCGAUACGGGCAGACUAGAGUACUGCAGGGGAGACUGGAAUUCCUGGUGUAGCGGUGGAAUGCGCAGAUAUCAGGAGGAACACCGGUGGCGAAGGCGGGUCUCUGGGCAGUAACUGACGCUGAGGAGCGAAAGCGUGGGGAGCGAACAGGAUUAGAUACCCUGGUAGUCCACGCCGUAAACGGUGGGUACUAGGUGUGGGUUCCUUCCUUGGGAUCCGUGCCGUAGCUAACGCAUUAAGUACCCCGCCUGGGGAGUACGGCCGCAAGGCUAAAACUCAAAGGAAUUGACGGGGGCCCGCACAAGCGGCGGAGCAUGUGGAUUAAUUCGAUGCAACGCGAAGAACCUUACCUGGGUUUGACAUGCACAGGACGCCGGCAGAGAUGUCGGUUCCCUUGUGGCCUGUGUGCAGGUGGUGCAUGGCUGUCGUCAGCUCGUGUCGUGAGAUGUUGGGUUAAGUCCCGCAACGAGCGCAACCCUUGUCCUAUGUUGCCAGCGGGUUAUGCCGGGGACUCGUAGGAGACUGCCGGGGUCAACUCGGAGGAAGGUGGGGAUGACGUCAAGUCAUCAUGCCCCUUAUGUCCAGGGCUUCACACAUGCUACAAUGGCCGGUACAAAGGGCUGCGAUGCCGUGAGGUGGAGCGAAUCCUUUCAAAGCCGGUCUCAGUUCGGAUCGGGGUCUGCAACUCGACCCCGUGAAGUCGGAGUCGCUAGUAAUCGCAGAUCAGCAACGCUGCGGUGAAUACGUUCCCGGGCCUUGUACACACCGCCCGUCACGUCAUGAAAGUCGGUAACACCCGAAGCCGGUGGCCUAACCCUUGUGGAGGGAGCCGUCGAAGGUGGGAUCGGCGAUUGGGACGAAGUCGUAACAAGGUAGCCGUACCGAAG